rnacentral:rRNA from 1 species
AGUUAAUAAAAUUGUUUAUAAUUAUUAUAUGUUUAUAUAAUUUAAACUAAAGAAUUUAAAGUUAUUGUAUAAUUAAUAAAUUAAAUAAUUUUUACUAUAGUAUAUUAGUAUUGUAAAAGAAGUUUUAAUUAUUAUUAUAAUUAAUCAAAGGUGAUUUUAUUAAUUGUAUCUUGUGUAUCAGAGUAAAUUUAAAUAAAUUAUUUAUUUUUUAUUCUCGAAUUUAAAAGAUUUAAUUAAAAUUAUUAGUUAUUGUAUUAUAAAUAUUAAAAAAUUUUAAUUGGUAAUGAUAUGUUAUUUGUUUUUAAGGAUAUCUAGUUUUUUAAUAAAUGAAUUUAAUUCAUAAAAUAUAAAUUAUUUAUUAAAUAUUUAUUGAUAUAUUUUGUAUUUUAAAUUUUAAAGGGGAUAAAUUCUUUAAAAUAUAAUUAUAAUGGUAGUGUUUUUGAGAAUUUUAUAAAUUUAGAAUUUGUUAUUAAUUAAAGGAUGUUAAAAUUUAAUUCUUUUUUUAUUUUGAUUUAUAGUUAUUAUUUAAUUUUUUUAUUAAAAUGUUAAGUUAAAUUUAAAAUUUUUUGAAAUUAUGAUUUAAUUAGUAAAUAAUAAUAUUAAUUUAUUAAUAUAGAUGAUAUAUUAAUAUAAGGAAUUAGGCAAAUAUUUCACUCGCCUGUUUAUUAAAAACAUGGUUUCUUGAUAAUUAUUUAAGAGAUUUAACCUGCCCACUGAAUAUUAUUUGAAGGGCCGCAGUAUUUUGACUGUGCAAAGGUAGCAUAAUCAUUAGUCUUUUAAUUGAGGACUAGAAUGAAUGGUUGGACGAAGUGAAUUCUGUUUUAUGAUAAUAUAAUUGAAAUUAGUUUUUAAGUAAAAAAACUUAAAUAUUGUUAAGGGACGAGAAGACCCUAUAGAGUUUAAUAUAUGUAGUAAAUAAUUGAGUUAAGGUUUAAUUUUUGGUUAUUAUGAAAUUUAUUUAAUUGGGGUGAUUUAAAGAUAAGAAAAACUUUUUUUAGUGGUUAAUAAUAUAAUUAGUUGUGUGAUCCAAAUUUAAUGAUUAAAAGAUUAAAUUACCUUAGGGAUAACAGCAUAAUUCUUUUUGAGAGUUCAUAUUGAAAAAAGAGAUUGUGACCUCGAUGUUGGAUUAAGAUUAGUUUUGGGUGUAGAUGUUCAAUAACUAGGUCUGUUCGACCUUAAAUAUCUUACAUGAUCUGAGUUUAAACCGGUGUGAGCCAGGUUGGUUUCUAUCUUUAAUUUAGUUAAAUAUUUUAGUACGAGAGGACCAAAUAUUUAAAAUAAUUUUUAUUAAAUUGUAUAUUAUUAAUUA